rnacentral:rRNA from 1 species
CGAAUGAGGAGAUUCAUCGUCAGCUUAUUCAGUAUUAAUGCAGGCUAUGAUGUGAUAAUAGAACCCUUGUGGUCACUAGAUUAUACUUGCUUGUAUUAUUUUUGCUGGGUAUGUCGGCGUGCACUUCUCCUCUAGUAGAACGUCGCAACCCGUUGGAUGUUUAUCUAUGGCUUGAAUGGUAGCCUUUGAUAUUUUUUAUAUUGAAGACCUUCGAUGUCCUGAUAAACUGUUUGACGGUAUACAUAUGGUAUUGAGCCGCAAUUAUUUGCGUUAGACUUGCCGCAAGUAUGACUUUAUUCUAGUAGUGCGGAUCUAAUGCCGUCGCUGGACAAAGUCUGCUGUUA